GGGCUUAUAGCUCAGCUGGUUAGAGCACACGCCUGAUAAGCGUGAGGUCGGUGGUUCGAGUCCACUUAAGCCCACCA
rnacentral:tRNA from 1 species